GUCCUAGGAGCGCAUUGGAUAGCUCGUUGAACUAUUAAUCCAAAGGUUGUGGGUUCAAAUCCCACAUAGGAUA